UACGUAGGGUGCGAGCGUUAAUCGGAAUUACUGGGCGUAAAGCGUGCGCAGGCGGUUUGUUAAGUCUGAUGUGAAAGCCCCGGGCUCAACCUGGGAAUGGCAUUGGAAACUGGCAAGCUUGAGUAUGGCAGAGGGGGGUGGAAUUCCGCGUGUAGCAGUGAAAUGCGUAGAGAUGCGGAGGAACACCGAUGGCGAAGGCAGCCCCCUGGGCCAAUACUGACGCUCAGGCACGAAAGCGUGGGGAGC
rnacentral:rRNA from 1 species